rnacentral:rRNA from 1 species
AUUGAACGCUGGCGGCAGGCCUAACACAUGCAAGUCGAGCGGAUGAAGGGAGCUUGCUCCUGGAUUCAGCGGCGGACGGGUGAGUAAUGCCUAGGAAUCUGCCUGGUAGUGGGGGAUAACGUCCGGAAACGGGCGCUAAUACCGCAUACGUUCUGAGGGAGAAAGUGGGGGAUCUUCGGACCUCACGCUAUCAGAUGAGCCUAGGUCGGAUUAGCUAGUUGGUGGGGUAAAGGCCUACCAAGGCGACGAUCCGUAACUGGUCUGAGAGGAUGAUCAGUCACACUGGAACUGAGACACGGUCCAGACUCCUACGGGAGGCAGCAGUGGGGAAUAUUGGACAAUGGGCGAAAGCCUGACCCAGCCAUGCCGCGUGUGUGAAGAAGGUCUUCGGAUUGUAAAGCACUUUAAGUUGGGAGGAAGGGCAGUAAGUUAAUACCUUGCUGUUUUGACGUUACCAACAGAAUAAGCACCGGCUAACUUCGUG